UGGCUAGUCGUAGCACAGGCUCCACUUCUAAAAGAUCCACAACAGCAGGUAGCAAGGUUGGCACUUCUGUAUACUUGGACCUGGCUUACCUUCCGUCGAGCCAUGCAGUUUCCACCGUUGAUGUUGAGUUUUUUGGCCGCUUGCGAUCAUCGUGUUACAUAAUAAGUGGGGAUGACACACUCAAGGAAGGCCUGAUGAGGUCCAUUCUGGACGCAUUAUUAGAGGGAAAAUCUGUAUGGCCUGAGGAUGUGCCGGUGACCCUGAUUCCCACAUUUGAAUCACUGAUGAUGCAUGAGUGGUACCAGGAAACCCAAGAAAAACAACAGCAACUGGGAAUUACAGUCCUAGGAAGCAACAGCACUGUGGCUAUGCAGGAGGAGACAUUCCCUGCUUGUAAAGUAGAGUUCUGUUAGAUGAAAAGUAAAGACACAUGUUUUACAUUUUUUUCAUUUGUGUAUCCCAUGCUUAAAGUCACACAUUAACAUUUUUACCACUUGUAUGUUCUUAGCAAAUGUUUUAUCAAACUACAUAUAUUGUGUUUGUGAAAGAUUCCUUAGUAGGCGGCUGAGGCCUAAAAUACACAGUAAAAUCACAAGUAUUAAAUCAACACCCAUACAUGUAUUUACUCUAGGAGUAUAACUGUACUGGUUUAUUAUUAAGAAGAGUAUUUACUAGAUUCCCACUUUGCAAAAAUAGUUGUAAUUAAUGUCGGCAUGAAACUGAAGUAGCGAUUGUCUUUUUUUCUCUACUGUGACGUCUAUC